AGCAAAGGGUGUGCACUGUAGCCAUGGCUAAAGCUCUCCUCGUUUCACCUUCCUACUUCAUCUUCUUCAUCUUCCUCAUUUUCUCUUCUGCCACAGUUUCAAUUUUCGGAGAAGAAUACAGCUAUGUCAAAAGUAUCAAUCCUAAGAAAAUGAAUAUGUUGAAGGAAAAGGUAACACACUUUCAACUUUAUUGGCAAGAUGUUGUUAGUGGGUCUAAUGCAACAUCGGUUACAGUGCUUGAAGAAGUGAAUAACUCGUCAACAUUGUUUGGUUCGGUUAGUAUAAUUGAUAACUCGUUAACCGUUGGGCCAAAUUUGAGCUCAAAAACGGUUGGAAAGUCCCAAGGGUUAUACGCAUCUACGGGACUAGAAGAAACUUCAUUAUUGAUGGUUAUGAAUUUUGCAUUCACUGAUGGCAAGUACAACGGUAGCACAUUCACCGUGGUAGGACGGAACAAUGUAAAUGCUAAGGUGAGGGAGAUGCCAAUAAUCGGUGGUAGUGGGCUUUUCCGAUUUGCUAGAGGCUAUGUUCUAGCAUCAACUUACUCAUUCAGCGACAACGGAGAUGGCACUAUUGAAUACAAUUGUUAUGUUAUACAUUAUUGAUAUUUUUUAUCUUUUUCUAGUUUUUUCAUGGAGCUUUGGUCCACAAUAGUGAUAUACUUAAAUAAUUGUGUGUUCCCACUAUAACUAAGUGAGAUUAUCUAGUUUUGUUUAAUUUGAAUAAAGGUGACUCUUCACCUAAUUUAAUGUAAGCAUAUUAUAAUAAAAUAAAAUGCUUAUUUGCGUGCUUAAUUACUUUCUUGAAAUUUGUUAAACUAUACUUUAUUCUUAAAAAAUAAAAAAAAUAUUGGAGAGAAGUAGAUUUCAAAGCUCAUAUCAACAAAGUUGAAAUGGUAUCACUUUUCUAUUCAACUUAGCCACUUUUUGUGAGUUGAUUUGAUAUGUUUAAAUUUUCACACAUAUAGCUUUUGAAUAUAAGGCUAAUUGGGUGGACUACCUUUACUUUGUUUAAUAAGAAUGACAUAUGUCUUUGAUUUCACAUGACUCAAAUUGUUUUAACCAAACUAAAAUAUAUUCAACAUCCACUAAUUUUUAGUCAUAUAUAAUGAUAAUGAAGUUAGGAAAAAAAAAACUAAAAAAUUUGAGCAACAUUCCCAUUUAUAAAAAUGUUUUGAUGAAAAUUAUAAAUUUUAUUACUUUGACAUGAUACAUAAGUUUAACUUUUUCUUUUGUUUCAUCUAAGAUAUGAUUUAAUUGAAAAUAUUUGAAAAGAAGAUAGGAUUCUUAAACAACAACCUUUUCCCAUUAUUUACAAAUUCUACAAGGUCCAUAGCUAGGGUUUGGAUCAAAAUGGCUAAAAAUUAAUGUCAUCUCAAUUUGGUUCAUUUUUUAGAUAAGCAAUCAUGAUGAUGUUGAAUAAGUUCUUGUGUCCAUAACAAGCAAGCAACUAUAAUGGAACAAGACCAUUUGUAUUUUUUGUUGCCAUUUGUAUGGUCCAAUAUCUUGGGCCCAUCACAUUUUGAGCCAUAGCCUAAUGGGCUUUUCACCCCAUGAUGUGGUUACCAAUUAAAAAUUGGACCUCAUUAGGGUUCACCAAAUUUAAAGCCCCUUAAGACCCUUGAAGAUUAAGUGGAAAUAACCAUUUGUCACAAAUGAAAAGUGAGAUAGAAACUUAUAUUUAAAAUUUUAAAUGGAAAGACCCUUGAACACUGAUUUUUAAUGUUAGUGAAUGAAAGAAAAAUCAAAUAACUCUCAUUUCAAGCAUUUAAGAGUACCAUCUCCUAGAAAACUGAUAAAAUAACCCUAUUAGAUAAUUUGGUUAGAAAAAAGAAAAUAUGAAGGGUCUGAUAUAUCAUUGUCAAACAACGCAUAAAAAAAAAACUAUAAAAGGACGAAUUUUCAUUGUAGGAUAAAGGAGAAUUUCUUAUUUUCAAUAAAUAAAAAAAUUUAAAAGUUUUGCAGCUUCAAUAAGUUCUAAUAAAUUUUAUCUUUUAUAUAUAAAUUAUUAUUAUUAUUAUUUUAUGAUUUUAAAAAAAUAUAUGAAAUAUGUUCAAAUGGGUAUUUAAUUAUAAAUAAAUGAUAACUAUUCUACUAUUUCUCUAAUACAAAAAUUAAAAAAAAACUAUUUGAAUAUUUUUAAAUGAAUUUCACAUUCAAAAAACUUUAAAUCAUUUUUUUUUUCUCUUCUUGGUUGUGAAAUAGUAGAUGAUGAAAAAUUAACCAUAAAUGAUUAAUUAUCAUCAUAAGUUUAAUCUUUAUCAAUUAUCCUUGUCCUAUUAAAGCAAGGUGACAAGUUGAAUUAAUGUGAUUAGGUUUAUGUAAGUUCAAAUCAAUUGUCCUCAUCCUUGUAUGAAAGUCAUGGACUCAUGGCAUGCGGCUAUAGCCCAUUGAAGGUAUAGAAGUAGUGUUAUUAAAGAUCAAACUUUAAGUAAAAAAAUUUUAAAGUAUUUUUUAAUAUUUUAUGGGAUACUAUUUUUAAAAAAUAAUAUUAAUUAAAUAAAAAAUCCUAACACUAAAACCCUGUAGAAAGAAGUUGGGAACAAUGCAUGCAUGUGCAUGUAUUUCAUGAGUUAUCUCUGAGUAUUGCCAUCCGUUGCCACUAAUUUUUUAGUCACCCUUUUUUCCCCUGAGAGAAUGGAGUGGAUGCCUUGGUGGAGCCUGUUUGCCAUCCAAAUGGGAGAUUGAAAUGCCUCUCUAUCCCCACCUGCUGCAGCAUCUCUCUCUCUCUCUCAUAUUCUAUGAUGGAAUCUUUAGUCUAUAAGGUUGAUUUUUUGAAUGCCCAUUACCAGCUGAUUUUUGAAGGAAAGGAAUUGAAUAUUAAUUCUCAUAUGGUCUCUCUCUCUUUCAUAUUCUUUGAAGAAUCUAUAAUCUAUAGAGUUGAUCACUUUUAAAUGCCCAUGAGCAGCUGAUUUUUGAAGGAAAGUGAUUGAAUAUUAAUGGCUGUGAGACCCAUUCUCAUAUCUUCUCUCUCCCUCUCCCCCUUUCUCUCUCAUAUUCUAUGAUAGAAUCCACAGUCAAUAGGAUUGAUUUUUUUUUUUUUUAAUGCCCAUGAGCAGCUGAUUUUUGAAGGAAAGUGAUUGAAUAUUAAUGGUUGUGAGACCCAUGCACUCUCAUAUGUUCUCUUUAUCUCCCCCUCUCUCUCAUAUUAUAUUAUAGAAUCUAUAAUCUAUAGGGUUGAUUUUUUUUAAUGCCCAUGAGCAGCUGAUUUUUGAAGGAAGGUGGUUGAAUCUUAAUGGGUUGUGAGACCCAUUAAUGUAGAGAGGAACUCAAAAUCCUAAUAAAAAUGUAAUUCAAUUAAUGAUGGGUUUUUAAUUCAUAUUCUCAUUUUUAAUAAUUAAUUCAAAUAAAAUAACAAAUUAAAAGUAAAAUAGAUUUUUUAAUUUCAUUUUUUGUUUCAAUGUCUCAAACAUAUGUAAAAGAUAUGAUGAUUAUUUUUAAGGUUUAUAAAACAAUUCUAAAAAAAGUAGAUUUUUAAAAAAUAUUUAAAAGUAAGGUGUUUGAUAAAUCAACUUAAUUACUUAAUUUUAAUUAUUAAAUAAAUAAAAUAUAUUUUAUAAAAUAAUUUAAUAUUAAAAUUAUUUUUUAUUUUUAAUAUUAAAUUAAAUAAUUAAUUUAUAUUUAAUUUCAAAACCUUUUCACCUCAUUUUUCCGUACCCAUGUAAACUAAUUAACAUAAAUACCGGACCUACUUGGGUCACAAGUUUGAAUGGUAAAAUGACAAUUUUAUCCAAUAGGAUGAAGGGUUUUGGCCCCCACAAUAAACCCUAGGGCCUACUUUGAUGGCGGCUGCCACCGUGGAGCCAGACACUUUUGUUAGGUGGGGCAUCAAGAGAAUUAUUAAUAUAUUAUAGUUAAGGUAAUUAAUAAUAUUUAUUAUUAUUAUUAAAAUUAAAUAAUUUUAAAUAUUAAUUAUUAAAAUGUAUGAAAUUAAACCAUCAUAAUACUAAAAAUAUUUUUUAAAAAAAGUUAGAUUAUAUAUAUAUAUAUAUAUAUAUAUAUAUAUAUCAAGAACAUUUAAAAGGAAAUUUCAAAAGAAACAAAAACUAGAAAAAAAAUCAUUAGAAAUUCUGAAUAAUUUUAAUUAUUUUGUAGCAAAAACCCUUAAAAGUUAUUUUUUAAAAAUUUAAGUACUUAUAUUAUAAAUUUUGAUAUCUUCGUGGAAAAUAUGUGCGUCUUUAAAUAUGAUAAUAGGACAAGGACAAUUGACAAAGAUUAAACUUAUGAUGAUAAUUAAUCAUUUAUGUCCAACUAGUCCAUGGUCUUUCCAAGUUUUCCUUCUUUCCAUUCAAAAACGGCAUGCUAUUACUAGUCGAUAGGACAUACAAAUUACCCAAAACCACCAAGUGCUCAAGGCAACUGGAGGGGCAUUUUGGUCAUUCUCGUUAGAAAUUUUCCCCAUUGUGAUGUGUCUUUGACUGGUUGGCAUCUAGGACUUGGUCUUUGCGCAGUUGGUAACUAUGACGGCUUGGAAAUUGGAAAAUAUUAUUGUACCGAAAAUGAAACAUUCAAUGUGUAUAUAUAGCCUAGGUUUUGUGAGCAAAUGUAUAUGACUCAAGUUUUGUGAGCAAAGGUAUAUCAUAACUCAGGUUUUGUGAGCAAAGGGUGUGCACUGUAGCCAUGGCUAAAGCUCUCCUCAUUUCACCUUCCUACUUCAUCUUCUUCAUCUUCUUCGUUUUCUCUUAUGCCACAAUCCCAGUUUUCGGAGAAGAAUAUAGCUAUGUCAAAACUGUUGAUUUUGAGAAAAUGAAUCUACCGAAGGAAAAGGUAACACACUUUCAACUUUAUUGGCAAGAUGUUGUUAGUGGGUCCAAUGCAACCUCUGUCACAGUGAUUCAACCAGUGAAUAACUCGUUACCAUUUUUUGGUAUGGUAAAUAUAAUUGAUAACUCAUUAACCGUUGGGCCAAAUUUGAGCUCAAAAACAGUUGGAAAGGCCCAAGGGCUUUAUGCAUCUACGGGACAAAAAGAAUCUUCAUUAUUGAUGGUUAUGAAUUUUGCAUUUACUGAUGGCAAAUACAAUGGUAGCACAUUCACCGUGGUAGGACGAAAUAAUGUAAAUGCUGAGGUGAGGGAAAUGCCGAUAAUCGGUGGCAGUGGGCUUUUCCGAUUUGCUAGAGGUUAUGCUUUAGCAUCAACUUACUCAUCCAACGACAAAGGAGAUGCCACUAUUGAAUACAAUUGUUAUGUCAUACAUUAUUGAUGUUUUUUCUUUUUCUUUUUUUAAUUUUUUGUGUGGAGUUUUGAUUCACAAUAGUGAUAUACUUAAAUAAUUGUGUGUUCCCACCAUAGGUAAGUGGGAUUCUCUAGUUUUGUUUAAUUUGAAUAAAUUAGGUGGCUUUUACUUCACCUAAUUGAAUGUAAGCAUACUUUAAUAAAAUAAAAUAAAAUGAUUAUUUAUGUGGAUUAAUUACUUUCUUGAAAUUUGUUAAACCAUACUUUACUCUAUUAUAAAAAAGUUGGAGAUAAGUAAAUUUAAAAGCUUAUAUCAACAAAGUUGAAGUGGCAUCACUUUUCUAUUCAACUUAUCUAGGCUUUGUUUGAUAAAAAUGACAUAAUUCUUUGAUUUCACAUGACCCAAAUUAUCUUAACCAAACUAAAAUAUAUUCAACUUUCACUAAUUUUUAGUCAUAUAUAAUGAUAAUGAAGUUAGAAAAAGCUCAAAAAUUUGUGGAGCAUUCCCAUUUACAAAAAUGUUUUUAAGAAAUGUUUUGAUGAAAAUUAUAAAUUUUAUUUACCUUGAUAUACAAGCUAACUUUUUCCUUUGUUUGACCUAAGAUAUCAUUUAAUUGAACAUAUUUCAAAAGAAGUUCAUUUAUUGCACCUCAUUGUUUACAUAUAACUCCACAUGAUGACUAGCUGCCUCCACCUCCAUUGGCCAUUCGGUAUAUAUUAUAAUAUUACCACAAAUUUUAAUAUUAUGAUGAUACAUGCAUAAACUUAAAUUCUAACAUUUAUUUAUUUAUUUAUUCUUUGUUAGUUUAUUUUUAUAGUUGGAGAUAUGAGUUUCAGACUAGUUCGAUUAGCAUGCACGUCUUAGCUCGGUAUAGUCAUCAUCUUGAUUGACUUACAACAUAUCAGGUAGUAAAAGUGUGAUUCAUUUCUUAUACUUGUUUCUCUAAACAAAUUCUAAAUCACUUAUUAUAUCUAACAUUUCUUUGGUACAGAUUAUAUGGCAACCUUAUGUUGAUGACAUGAAUGUUGGUCUUCCUGAUUAUUGUACUGCUGGGAAAUAUAUAUAGUGCACUAUCUCACCUUUGAUAUGUUUCCACAUAAUUGAAUGGUAUAGACCUGAUCGAGUAUUGCUGCAGUUUGGAUUUCAUCAAAGGAUUCCUCAGCCAUGUAAUAAUGAGUCAAUCUUACACAAAUGUGAUUUGAGAGGUAUACAUGAUGUUGAUUAGACUACUUGAUACGGAGACUACAUUCAAUGUUGGAUCUCUAGGCGUGAGCAUAUUGCUAGAGGCGAAAUGGUUUUAGGUUCAUUGGGGUAUCAUGAUCCAUACAUGGUGUGGUAUCGCUCCAUUACUAUUCGAUUUCUUACUCGAACUAGGUCCUUCCAUGAGGUACUGGUAAUUUUCAUGUUUUAUAUUUUUAUUAAAGUUUAUUUUAUUUUUAUAAGAAUUUAAUUUAUCUCCUAUUUGACUUACAGACUACCAGCAUACACCAGAUAUAUGAUAUUGCACCUCUAGAUGAUUUCCACAUUCGCAGACUAUGUAUGUAUUAGAGGCCAUACAUGAAAUGGAUCACUUAGAUGCUCCAUUUAAUGUUGAUGCUACUACACAGCUCCAACCUCGAUCAGGAGAUGUACGACCUACACGACAAGGGCCUCGUACAAGGGAGAUUAGGCAUACACCGGUUGUUACCUGAGUGCAACCAUUGAAUGACAUUAGUCCACCACCUCAUCAGCAGCCAAUAUCAUCCAUUACUCAAUCAAGAAGUGUAUGAACUAGAAGGGAAUGGGCUCACAUGAGAGGUAGUCUACCACCUCAUCAGCAGCCGAUAUCAUCCAUUACUCGAUCAGGAGGUGUAUGAACUAGAAAAGGAGCAGCUCAUACGAGAAGGACUACGCAUACAUUUGUUCUUGGAGAUGCAUCAUCGACUGACAUUAGCCCGCCACCUGUUGAGGAGACCCUUAUUACACCUAUGGAGGUGCCAUCCACACCACCCAUAGUAUUACUUGUUGCGUCAUCACCACAACCGAUAGAGGCUACAUUGGUUAAUGAGGAGUUAGUUCAUAUAGCAAAUGAUGAUAAGUGAGGAUAAAAGAAUGAUCGUGGUCGAGGACGUGGUAGGAGACGUGGUCGUGGAGUUCAUGAAGGGAUACAUGUUAGCCCCAUAGAGCCAAUAGUGGAACAUGCAUAUCAUGGACGUCCACAACGAACAAUAAAGGCUCAUUCAUGCAGUACACAUUGAGGACGUUACUACAUAUGACUUGUAUUUUGGAUACUAUUAGUAUUUUGCAUAUCAUUAUUUUGGACAAAUACUUAAGAUGUAUAUUUAUACUUGUUAUAUUUUGGAUUAACUAACUUUUUAUUAACGCAAGUUCUAUUGUAUUCUAUCUAUUUUGGACUUAUUUUACACAAAAUAGUAUUGUUACUAUUUUGGAAAGGUGCUGAUUUAAUUGACAUUUGGUUUACUUGUUUUCAUUGGUUUUGGAUUGAAUGUCAAAAUAUUGAAUAUAAUGUAUACAGGUGAUAAACUUUAAACAUUUGGUUAUAUAUAUAGAAGGUAAUAUUGAUUAAAAGAUAGAUUUUUUUUUCUUUUGUGGAAGGUGUCUCUUCAAGAGAUACAUUCGGCAUAAAUUCGAAAUUUUCCACUAUGUGUGGAAAUUGUAGUAAGUGUCUCUUGAAGAGACACUUACAGUAUAAACCUAAUUUUUAAAAAAUUAUGGAAGGUGUCUAUUCAAGAGACACCUUUAGUAUAAUUCCAUUUUUUUGGAAAUGUGGAAGGUAUCUCUUGAAGAGACACCUUCAGUAUAAAUUCGAAAUUUUCCCUAUGUAUGGAAAUUGUGAAAAGAGUCUCUUGAAAAGACGCUUUCAAUAUAAACCCAAUUUUUUUAAAAUUAUGGAAGGUGUCUCUUCAAGAAACACCUUUAGCAUAAAUUCAAAAUUUUCAACUAUGUAUGGAAAUUGUAGAAAAGAGACACUUUCAAUAUAAACCCAAUUUUUUUAAAAUUAUGGAAGAUGUCUCUUCAAAAGACUUCUUUAGUAUAAAUCCAUUUUUUAGGGAAUUAUUUCGAAAAUUUCAACUAUGUAUGGAAAUUGUGGAAAGUGUCUCUUGAAGAAACACUUUCAGUAUAAACCCAAUAUUUUUUUUUUUUAAAUUAUGGAUUUAGUAUAAAUCCAAUUUUUUGGGGAUUGUAGGUGUCUUUCAAAAGACAUCUUUAAUAUAAAAUCAAUACAAGUUAAAAUUUGUGAAAUUGUGGAAUCAAAAGGCACUUUUAGUAUAUAUUGGAAUUUAUGGAAUUGUGGAAAGUGUCUCUUGAAGAAACACCUUUAGAAUAAAUCCAAUUUUGUGGGAAUGGUAGAAGGUGUCUUUUGAAAAUACACCUUCAAUAUAAAAUCAAAUUUAAGAGACACAUAGUAGUAUAAAUUAAAAUUUAUGAAAUUAUGGAAGAGACACCUUCAAUAUAAAUCCAAUUUUUUGGGAAUAGUAUAAUGUUUCUUUUUAAGAGACUCAUUUAGUAUAUAUUAGAUUUUGUGGAAUUGUAGAAGGUGUCACUUGAAGACAUGCUUUCAGUAUAAAUCCAAUUUUUUUUGAAUUGUAAAAUGUAUCUUUUGAAGAUUCAAUAUAAAAUCAAAUUUAAGAGACACAUGAUAUAAAUUAAAAUUUGUGAAAUAGUGAAAAGUGUCUCUUGAAAAAACACUUUUAGUAUAUAUUGAAAUUUAUAGAAUUGUGGAAAGUGUCUCUUCAAGACACACCUUUAGUAUAAAUUCAAAUUUUUUGGAAUCGUAAAAGGUGUCUCCAAACACCUUUAAUACAUAUUGGAUUUUGUGGAAUUGUGGAAAGUGUAUUUUCAAGAGACACCUAAAAUUCAAUUUUCUAAAAUUAUAGAAGUCAAGAGAUACAUUUAGGUUAAAUUCAAUUCUUUUAAAUAUGUAUCAUGAUUUUGAAAAUUUUGGAAGGUGUUUCUUCAAAAGACACCUUCCACGUGGCAAAAAACUGUCGUAGAUCUAUCAAUAUUUUUUCAACUACCAUUUUUUAAAAUUGCUGCAAAAGUUAAAAAAGCCCGUAUAGAAGUAGUGUUAUUAAGUAUCAAACUUUAAAGUAAACAAUUCUAAAAGCAUUUUUUAAAUAUUUUAUGGGAUACUAUUUUUUAAAAAUAAUAUUAAUUAAAUAAAAAAUCCUAACACUAAAACCCAAUACAUGUAUGUAUAGGCAUCCGUUGCCAAGCUGAUUUUUUAAGGAAAGGAAUUGAAUAUUAAGGAGAAUUGUGUUUUGGAGUCAAUUGAGCCCAAAAAUUAAGACUUGACCCAUGAAAGUUACAUAAUUGAUGAGAAUGAUAUAAAAUAUGAAAAGACUAAUAUACCCUUCAAAACUAUUUUAAGUAUUUUCUACCACAAUGUUUGACAAAUUUUUUUAUUUUAAUUUUUUUAAUAAUUAUUCUAAAAAUUUAUUAUUUUUAGAAACUAAUUUUUUUUAAAAAUAUAAUUCUAAAAACAUAUCAUUUUAAAAAAAUAAUUUUGACAUAUUUUUAGUUAUUUUUUACCUACAUAAUUUUAAAUAUAUAUAUUUUUCAAGAUGUUUGAUUUUUAAAUAAUAAUAAUAAUAAUAAUAAUAAUAAUUUAUUUUUAGUUUUUUUUAAAAGGGGCAUUUUUUUUCCAAAUCACUGAAUUAAAUUAAAAUUUAUUGAGGUUUACAAAAGAAAUAAAAUUUAAAUUAAUAUUUUUCUACUUUUUUUUCAUCUUCAAUAAAUGUUAUUUUUGGAAAAAUAAAAAAUCUAUAUCCUUCAUCUCAAUUUCCAUACUUCUUUUUAGUCUUGGGCUUAAAUAGUGAAUUUAUAUGGACUAAAACUUAAUUUUUAAACUCAAUUAGGUCUAAAACACAAUUAUACCUAAAUAUUAAUUCUCAUAUGGUCUCUCUCUCCUCCUCUCUCUCUCAUAUUCUUUGAAGAAUCUAUAAUCUAUAGAGUUGACUUUUUUAAUGCCCAUGAGCAGCUGAUUUUUGAAGGAAAGUGAUUGAAUAUUAAUGGUUGUGAGACCCAUUCUCAUAUGUUCUCUCUUCCUCUCCCCCUUUCUCUCUCAUAUUCUAUGAUAGAAUCCAUAGUCAAUAGGGUUGAUUUUUUUUUUUUUAAUGCCCAAGAGCAGCUGAUUUUUGAAGGAAAGUGAUUGAAUAUUAAGUUGUGAGACCCACUCUCAUAUGUUCUCUCUAUCUCCCCCUCUCUCUCAUAUUGUAUUAUAGAAUCUAUAAUCUAUAGGGUUGAUUUUUCUUUUUUUAACGCCCAUGAGCAGCUGAUUUUUGAAGGAAGGUGGUUGAAUCUUAAUGGGUUGUGAGACCCAUUAAUAUAGAGAGGAACUCAAAAUCCUAAUAAAAAUGUAUUUCAAUUAAUAAUGGAUUUUUAAUUCAUAUGCUCAUUUUUAAUAAUUAAUUCAAAUAAAAUAACAAAUUAAAAGUAAAAUUGAUUUUUUAAUUUCAUUUUUUAUUUCAAUGUCUCAAAUAUAUACAAAAAAUAUGAUGAUUAUUUUCAAGGUUUAUAAAACAAUUCUACAAAAAUAGAUUUUUAAAAAAUAUUUAAAAAUAAGGUGUUUGAUAAAUCAACUUAAUUACUUAAUUUAAAUAAUUAAAUAAAUUAGAUAUAUUUUUUAAAAUAAUUUAAUAUUAAAAUUAUUUUUAAUUUUUAAUAUUAAAUUAAACUAAUUAAUUUAUAUUUUAUUUCAAAACCUUUUUACCUCAUUUUCCCAUACCAAUGCAAAAUAAUUAACAUAUAUACCAAACCUUGGCUCACGAGUUUCAAUGGUAAAAUGACAAUUUUAUCCAGUAGGAUGAAGGGUUUUGGCCCACCACAAUAAACCUUAGGGCCUGCCUACUUUGUUGGCGGCUGCCACCGUGGAGCCAGACACUUUUGUUAGGCGGGGCAUCAAGAGAAUUAUUAAUAUAUUAUAGUUAAGGUAAUUAAUGAUAUUUAUUAUUAUUAAAAUUAAAUAAUUUUAAAUAUUAAUUGUUAAAAUGUAUCAAAUUAAACAACCAAUAUUUUUUUAAAUAAAUUAGAUUUUAUAAAAACAUUAUCAAGAAGAUUUAAAAGGAAAUUUCAAAAUAAAUAAAAACUAGAAAAAAAAAUAUUAGAAAUUUUGAAUAAUUUUAAUUAUUUUGUAGUAAAAAACCAUAAAAUUUAUUUUAAAGAAUUCAAUCAUUUAUAUUAUAAGUUUUGAUAUUUUUCAUGAAAAAUUGUGCUCCGAGGAUUAAAAUUUUUAUAGAUAUCAAAAUUAAUAUCUUAAUUUUUUUUCAAAUAACUAAAUAUAAGAUAGUUGAAAUGAAAUCUUUUACUUAAAACUUAUGUUUUAUAUAAUACGUCAUUACGAAGCAUGUUAAAAGUUUUAUUUUUUAUGAUUUAGUUAAGUCUAAUAAAAAACAAGUAUAAAAAUGAAAAAUUUUGAAUAAACAAAAAGAAAGAAAUACCAACAUUAAAAGCGAUUUUUUUUAAUUUUAGUUCAAUUUUAAUAUUUGAUUAGUAAUUAAUAAUCAAUAUUAUUUUUUUGAUAAUAAUAUUUAGUUGUCAUUGUUUUAAAUUUUAUAUUUAUAUUUUUUUAGAGGGGAUAAAUUUUCUAUUUUGGUUUUUAUUUUCCUAAAAAAAUUUAACAUAUAAAAUUGACGGUGUGGGGUACACGUGGCCCCCAUGAGCCUGACUUGAAUGGCAAGCAGGACUCAUUUUCUAGAAAAAAAAAAUUGUUUCUAGAAAAUUGAGGGUUGGGGAAUGGGGACGGGACAUGUGACCCCCCUGAGCCUUACUUGGGUGGCGGCAGGGCGCGUUUUCUAGAAAAAGUUACGUCCAACUAGUCCGGGGUCUUUCCAACUUUUCCUUCUUUCCAUUCAAAAAAGGCAUACUAUCACAAGUCGAUAAGACAUACAAAUUACCCAAAACCACCAAUUGCCCAAGGCACCAAAACAAGUAAUCUGGAGGGGCAUUUUGGUCAUUAUCUUUAGAAAAUUUCCCCAUUGUGACGUGUCUUCGAGCGGUUGGCAACUAGGACUUGGUCUUUGCGCAGUUGGUAACUAUGACGCCUUGGAAAUUGGAAAAAUAUUAUUCUACGGAAAAUGAAACAUUCAAUAUAUGUAUAUAUAGCCUAGGUGUUCUGAGCAAAUGUAGAUAACUCAGGUUUUGUGAGCAAAGGCACAUCAUAACUCAAGUUUUGUGAGCAAAGGGUGUGCACAGUAGCCAUGGCUAAAGCUCUCCUCAUUUCACCUUCUUACUUCAUCUUCCUCGUCUUCCUCAUUUUCUCCUAUGCCACAAUCCCAGUUUUCGGAGAAGAAUACAGUUAUGUCAAAACUAUCGAUCUUGAGAAAAUGAAUCUGCCGAAGGAAAAGGUAACACACUUUCAACUUUAUUGGCAAGAUGUUGUUAGUGGGUCUAAUGCAACCUCAGUUACAGUGAUUGAAGCACUGAAUAACUCAACAUUUUUUGGUUCGGUAAAUAUAAUUGAUAACUCGUUGACCGUUGGGCCAAAUUUGAGCUCAAAAACAGUUGGAAAAUCCCAAGGGUUAUACGCAUCUACAGGACUAGAAGAAUCUUCAUUAUUGAUGGUUAUGAAUUUUGCAUUCACCGAUGGCAAGUAUAACGGUAGCACAUUUACCGUGGUAGGACGAAACAAUGUAAAUGCUGAAGUGAGGGAGAUGCCAAUAAUUGGUGGUAGUGGGCUUUUCCGAUUUGCUAGAGGCUAUGUUUUAGCAUCGACUUACUCAUUCAGCGACAAUGGAGAUGGCACUAUUGAAUACAAUUGCUAUGUCAUACAUCAUUGAUAUUUUUUCUUUUUUUAGUUUUUCUGUGGAGCUUUGGUCCAUAAUAGUGAUAUACUUGAAUAAUCGUGUGUUCCCACCAUUACUAUGUGGGAUUAUCUAGUUUUGUUUAAUUUGAAUAAAUUAGGUGGCUCUUACUUCAUUUGAUUUAAUGUAAGCAUACUGCGAUAAAAUAAAAUAAAAUAUUUGUUUGUAUGAAUUAAUUACUUUCUUGGAACUUGUUAAACUAUACUUUAUUUUAAAAAAAAAUAGAGAGAAGUAAAUUCCAAAGCUCGUAUCAACAAAGUUGAAGUGUUAAUCACUUUUCUAUUCAACUUAACAACUUUUUGUGGGUUGAUUUGAUAUGUUUGAAUUAUUACACAUAUAUAUAUAUGGCUUUUGAAUAUAAGGCUAAUUGGGAGGACUACCUUUACUUUGUUUAAUAAGAAUGGAAUAUUUCUUUGAUUUCACAUUACUCAAAUUAUAUUAACCAAACUAAAAUAUAUUCAACUUUCACUAAUUUUUAGUCAUAUAUAAUGAUAAUGAAGUUAGAAAAAAGCUCAAAAAUUUGAGUUGCAUUCCCAUUUACAAAAAUGCUUUUAAGAAAUGUUUUGAUGAAAACUAUAAAUUUAUUUUACUUUGAAAUGAUAGAUAAGUUUAACUCUUUCUUUUGUUUCAUCUAAGAUAUGAUUUCAUUGAACAUAUUUCAAAAGAAUAUAUGAUUCUUAAACAUUCAAGAGUACCCUUGAAUUAGAAAACCAAUAAAAGAACCCAAUCAGACAAUUGGUUAGAAAAAAAAAAUGUAAAACACGAAAAAAAAUUAAAACUACAAAUGUGGGGAAAAAUAAAAACCUAAAAGAUCUAGCAUAUCAAUGUCAGAUAACACGUAAAAACAAUACUAAAAAGGAUGUGCUUGCUUCAUUAGGGGAUGGAGGAGAAUUUCCUUUUUUUAGUAAAAAAAAGUUAGAAGUUUCGCAACUUCAAUAAACUUCUAAUAAUUUUUAUAUCUUAUAUACAAAUUAUUAUUAUUAUUAUUUUGUAUUUUUUAAAAAUAUAUGAAAUACAUUCAAAUGGGCACUUAAUUAUAAAUAAAUGAUAGCUAUUCUACCAUUUCUCUAAUAAUAAAAAAAUUAUUUUUCAAUGAAUUUAGCAUUCAAAAAGCUUUAAAUCAUUUUUUUUCUACUGAUUGUGUAAUAGUAGAUGAUGAAAAAUUAACAAUAAAUGAUUAAUUAUCAUCAUAUGUUUAAUCUUUAUCAAUUAUCCUUGUCCUAUUAAAGCAAGGUGACAAGUUGAAUGUGAUUAGGUUUAUGAAAGUUGAAAUCAAUCGUCCUCAUCCUUGUAUGCAAGUGGGUCAUGGACUCAUGGCAUGUGGCUAUAGCCCAUUGAAUGUAUAGAAGUAGUGUUAUCAAAUAUCAAACUUUAGAGUAAACAAUUUUAUAGGCCACAUCCAUGAUCCACCCUAGAGAAUUGGAAAAAUAAUUUUAUUAAGGUUAAGCAACAAUGGGAUUUGAUUUGAUUGUAAUGUGAUUUGAGGGGAGAAUGAAAGGAGUGGGUCAUUGGGAUAAUGUUGGUUAUAUUUGUGGCCAAUGGGUAGGAUCCCAAGUGGGAGAAAAUGUAAAGAAAUGUAAGGUGAUUAUGGUUUUUUGGUUUUUGUUAGGGUUCUCUAAAGUAGAUUAGGGGAAGAAUGAGAAAGUGAGCCCCAUUAUUUUGAAUGAUUAGUUUUUUUAAUUUUUUAUAAGAUGAUUUUGUGUAAAAUAAAAAAAAUACAAAAAAUACAAAAUUAAAGGACAGGAUAUUUAUUAAUUAUUAAGAAGAAAUGGAAUUUUUGGAAAAAAAAUUGCAUAUAAAAUAUUUUUUGAAAAGACAACUAUUUUUUUUUAUCUAAAAUCAUAUAUGAAAAAGACAUUUUAAAAGCUUUUUUAAAUAUUUUAUGGGAUACUAUUUUUAAAAAAUAAUGUUAAUUAAAUAAAUAAAAAAUCCUAAUACUAAAACCCUGCAGCAAAAAGUUGGCAACAAAGCAUGUUUAUCUCCAAGUUUUGCCAUCCAUUGUCAUUUUUUAGUUGUCCUUUUUCCAUUGAGUUAAAUAAAAUGGAUGUGAUGGUGGUGCAUGCCUUGGUGGAGCCAAUUCUUUGCCACCCAAGUUUUUAAUUUAUGUUCUUAUUUUUAAUAAUUAAUUCACAUAAAAUAACAAAUUAAAAGUGAAAUAGAUUUUUUAAUUUCAUUUUUUGUUUCAAUGUUUCAAUAUCUCAAACAUGAGAAUUAUUCUCAGAUAUUAGAAAGAUUUAUAAAACGAUUCUGAAAAUAUAAUUUUUUCAAAAAAUGUUCAAUUAUAAAGUAUUUGGUUAAUCAAUUUAAUUAUUUAAUUUAAGUUAUUAAAUAUAUUUAAUAAAAUAAUUUAAUAUUAAAAUUAUUUUUAACUUUUAAUAUUAAAUUAAAAUAAUUAACUUAUACUUAAUUUCAAAACUUUUUACCUCGUUUUUCAUAUUAAUAUAAAAUAAUUAACAGACCUACCUUGGCUCACAAGUUUGAAUAGUAAAAUGACAAUUUUAUCCAAUAGGAUGAAGGGUUUUGGCCCACCACAAUAAACCUUAGGGCCCACUUUGAUGGCGGCUGCCACCGCGGAGCCAGACACUUAUGUUAGGUGGGCCAUCAACAGAAUUAUUAAUGUAUUAUAGCUAAGGUAAUUAAUGAUAUUUAUUCUCGUUAUUAUUAUUAUUAUUAUUAAAAUUAAAUAAUUUUAAAUAUUAAUUAUGAAAAUGUAUCAAAUUAAACAACCAAUACUAAGAAUAUUUUUUAAAAAAAAUUAGAUUAUAUAUAUAUAUAUAUAUAUAUUAAAAAAAUUAGCAAGAACAUUUAAAGGGAAAUUUCAAAAUAAAUAAAAACAAAAAAAAAAAUCAUUAGAAAUUUUGAAUAAUUUUAAUUAUUUUAUCACAAAAACCCGUAAAAGUUAUUUUUAAAAAAUCAAGCAUUUAUGUUAUAAAUUUUGAUAUUUUUCAUGGAAAAUGUGUGUGUUUUUAAAUCUCAAUUAUUUUAUAACAUAAUUUUAUUUAUUUAUAUCUUAAUCAUAUUUAUAUUCAAAGACCUAAAUUUUUCUAUGUGCUUUUAAAAAUAAAGAUUAAAAUUUCAAUAGAUGUCCAAAUUAAUACUUUUAAAUUUUUUUCUUUUUUCAAAUAAUUAAAUAUACAAUAAUCAAAAGUAAAGUUGUUUACUUAAAAUUUAUGUUUCAUAUAAUAAGUUAUUAUGAAAACAGUAGCAAUUUAAAAGUAUUAUUUUUUAUGAUUUAAUUAAGUAUAAUAAAAAAUAAGCAUGAAAAUGAAAAAGAUUGAAUAAACAAAAAGAAAUAAAUGCUAAUAUCAAAUGAGAAUUUUUUUAAAUUUUAGUUCAAUUUUAAUAUUUUAUUAGUAAUUAAUGGUCAAUAUUAUUUUUUUGGUAAUAAUAUUUAGUUGUCAUUAUUUUGAAAAUUAAAUUCAUAUUUUUUUUUUAGAAGGGAUAAAUUUUCUAUUUUGGUUUCUAUUUUCCUAAAAAAGUUUUGACAUAUAAGGGAAUUUGUUUGUUUCUAGAAAAUUCAGAGGGCCAGGUGCCCUGAGCCUUACCUGGCACCGCCAGAGGCGGCAAGACUCAUUUUCUAGAAAAAGUUUUUAUAUGUUUUCCUUCUUCCCAUUCAAAAAAUGAGUGCUAUUACAAGUCGAUAAGACUUUGAAAUUACCCAAAACCACCAAGUGCCCAAGCCACCAAACCCAAUAAGCUGGAGGGCCAUUUUGGUCAUUCUCGUUAGAAAUUUUCUCCAUUGUGAUGUGUAUUUGAGCGGUUGGCAACUACGACUUGGCCUUUGCCCGGUUGGAAACUUCAUACUGACUUUGAAUUUGGAAAUGUCAAUUUUAUUGUACGGAAAAGUCAUUCUUAUUGUAUGAAAAAUCAACCAAUCGAUACAUAUAUAUAGCCUAGGUUUUGUGAGCUAAGGUAUAUACCUCAAGUUUUGUGAGCAAAGGUUUAUAGCUCAAGUUUUGUGAGCAAAGGUUUAUAGCUCAAGUUUUGUGAGCAAAGGGUGUGUAUUGUAGUCAUGGCUAAAACUCUCCUUGUUUCACCUUCCUACUUCAUCUUCUUCAUCUUUCUCAUUUUUUCUUCUACCACAACUCCAAUUUUUGGAGAAGAAUAUAGCUAUGUUAAAAGUGUCAAUCCUAAAAAAAUGAAGAUACCGAGAGAAAAGGUAAGUCAUUUUAAACUUUAUUGGCAGGAUGAUGUUAGCGGGUCUAAUGCAAC
rnacentral:lncRNA from 1 species